UACGUAGGGUGCAAGCGUUGUCCGGAAUUAUUGGGCGUAAAGAGCUCGUAGGCGGUCUGUCACGUCGGCUGUGAAAUCCCGAGGCUCAACCUCGGGUCUGCAGUCGAUACGGGCAAACUAGAGUAUUGCAGGGGAGACUGGAAUUCCUGGUGUAGCGGUGAAAUGCGUAGAUAUCUGGAGGAACACCGGUGGCGAAGGCGGCAUCCUGGACCGGCAUUGACGCUGAGGCGCGAAAGCCAGGGGAGCAAACGGG
rnacentral:rRNA from 1 species